GGCGGCAUGCUUACCAUGCAAGUCGAAGGCAGCACGGGAGCAAUCCUGGUGGCGAGUGGCGAAGGGUGAGUAAUAUAUCGGAACGUGCCCAGUCGUGGGGGAUAACGUAGCGAAAGCUACGCUAAUACCGCAUACGAUCUAUGGAUGAAAGCGGGGGAUCGCAAGACCUCCGCGAUUGGAACGGGCGAUAUCAGAUUAAGUAGUUGGUGAGGUAAAGGCUCACCAAGGCGACGAUCUGUAGCUGGUCUGAGAGGACGACCAGCCACACUGGGACUGAGACACGGCCCAGACUCCUACGGGAAGCAGCAGUGGGGAAUUUUGGACAAUGGGCGCAAGCCUGAUCCAGCAAUGCCGCGU
rnacentral:rRNA from 1 species